AUUCGUCGAUAGUGGCACAGCAAGUUCGGAGGCGGCGACCCUAAUAGAUGCUAGACGAGGGUUGUGAGGUGAAGCUUCGAUCUAUGACGUUAGCGGGGGACGGGUGAGUAUGACGUGGGCUUGGUGCCUGUAAGACUCCCAUAACUUGCCGAAACCCUUGCUAAUAGGGGAUAGGAUCAACUCCAAGAUGGGAGAUGUUUGAAAGAUGGUAAGGGCUAUCACAAACAGAUGGGCCCGGCCACGAUUAGCUAGAAGGUGAGGUAACGGCUCACCAAGGCUUCGAUGCAUUCGGCACCUGAGACCGUGAUCGGCCACACACCGACUGAGUGUCGGGGGAGACUCCUACGGGAGGCAGCAGUAGGGUUUCUUCCGCAAUGGACGUUUGUCUGACGGAGCAACGCCGCGUGAGUGAUGAAGGCUAACCGGUCGUAAAACUCUGUUGUUAGGGAAGAACUUCUACGAGAGUAACUGCUCGUUGGUUGACGGUUGGUAACCAGUUUGCCACGGCAUACUACGUGGGAGCAGCCGCGGUAAUACGUAGGUGGGUUGCGUUAUCCCCUAUUAUUGGGGGUAAAGCGCGCGCAGGGGGUUUCUUAACUCUGAUCUGAUUGCCCACGGCUCAACCCUGGAGGCUCAUUGGAAACUCCCGAACUUGAGUGCAGUUGAGAAAAGCGGUUUUCCACGUGUAGGGGUGAUUUGCGUAGAGAUCUGGAGGCCCACCAGUGGGCAAGGCGGCUUAAUGGUCUGUUUCUGACGCUGAGGGCCGAAAGCGUGGGGACGUUUCAGGAUUAGAUAGGGUGGUAGUCCACGCGGUAAACGAAGAGUGCUAAGUGAAAGAGGGAAACCGCGGUUAUGUGCUGCAGCUAACGGAUUAAGGACUCCGGGUGGGGAGUACGGUGGCUUGACUGUUACUCAAAGGAAUUGAGGGGGGCCCGCACUUGCGGUGGAGCAUGUGGUUUAAUUCGAAGCAACGCGAAGAACCUUACCAGGUCUUGACAUCCUCUGACAACUCUAGAGAUUGAGCGUUGGGCUUCGGGGGACAGAGUGACAGGUGGUGCAUGGUUGUCGAGAGCUCGUGUCGUGAGAUGUUGGGUUAAGUCCCGCAACGAGCGCAACCCUUGAUCUUAGUUGCCAGCAAAAAGAAGCCCACUCUAACCUGACUGGGGGUGACAAACCGGACGAAGGUGGGGAUGACGUCAAAUCAUCAUCCGGCUUAUGACCUGGGCUACUCACGUGCUAGAAUGGAUGGAACAAAGGGGAGCUUCACCGCGACCACAAGCCAAUGGGAUAAAAGGAUUCUCAGAACGGAUUGUACCCUGCUUCUCGCCUACAUGUUGCUGGAAUGGGUAGUAAUGGCGGAUCAGGUUGCCGCGGUGAAAUCGUUGGGGGGCCUUGUACACACCGGGGGUCACAGUACGAGAGUUUGGGUCACUUGAAGUCGGUGGAGUAACCGUAAGGAGCUAGCCGCCUAAGGUGGGACAGAUGAUUGGUUUGAAGUCGUAACAAGUUAACCGUAAGAUCCUAGGAAUC
rnacentral:rRNA from 1 species